CCCAGCAAGUUUAAAUACAACAAUAUAAAGAUAUAUCAUGAUUGAAGAGUAUGAAUAAUAAGCUGGCUAUAAUUCAUCAAUAUAAUUGAGAACUAGCAGGAACAAACUUUUGACUGAACAAGUUUUAAACAUGAACAAACAUUUCUGAAUCAACUGGUAAUGAAGGUGAUCAGCCUUUCAUACCUGACUUAUACAUGCAAGAUGUACAGAGUACAAUUUUCAUGGCAAUCAGCAAUGAUUAACCACAAGCUUGAAUAUAACACUCUUAUUAGAGUUAAGUAAGAACAAACUUUUGACUGAACAAGCUUUAAACAUGAACAAACAUUUCUGAAUCAACUGGUAAUGAAGGUGAUCAGCCUUUCAUACCUGACUUAUACAUGCAAGAUGUACAGAGUACAAUUUUCAUGGCAAUCAGCAAUGAUUAACCACAAGCUUGAAUAUAACACUCUUAUUAGAGUUAAG
rnacentral:lncRNA from 1 species